GGAGCCACAGGGACAGCCGGUGGGCUCGGUGGGGCUGCAGAAGGUCGGGGCUGCACUGCUCUCGGCCCCCACACGGUUGGUUGGUUGGCGUGGUAAGUGCCCUGAUCCCUGGUCCUGAGAACUCAGGCUGGCACAGGGAUUCCCAGGGCAUCUACCACCACGCAGCUGGAGCAGGGCUGAGCCCAGGAGCAUGGAGAUGGACGCCCCCAGGCCCCCCAGUCUUGCUGUCCCUGGAGCAGCAUCGAGGCCCGGGAGGGCUGCCAUCAGCAGCAGUGAGCCAUCACCUCUGCUGGCCACAUUGUGUUUUUUCUCCUAGAACUGUGGACAACGGAAGGCUGAGCCCCAUCCAUUGAGUUCCUGGGGCCCCACUGGAGGGGCUGCUGUGGCCAGGGUGCACGGUCACAAAUGAAGACACCAAGGCGCAGAGAGGUGACUCAGCCUGCCCUCAGUCACCUAUCUGCUCCUGGAGGUGAUCCCCGACUCCAUGAGGAAGCAAGAGGUGCGGACGGGCAGGGAGGCCGGCCAGGGCCACGGUACGGGCUCCCCAGCCGAGCAGGUGAAAGCCCUCAUGGAUCUGCUGGCUGGGAAGGGCAGUCAAGGCUCCCAGGCCCCGCAGGCCCUGGAUAGGACACCGGAUGCCCCGCUGGGGCCCUGCAGCAAUGACUCAAGGAUACAGAGGCACCGCAAGGCCCUGCUGAGCAAGGUGGGAGGUGGCCCGGAGCUGGGCGGACCCUGGCACAGGCUGGCCUCCCUCCUGCUGGUGGAGGGCCUGACGGACCUGCAGCUGAGGGAACACGACUUCACACAGGUGGAGGCCACCCGCGGGGGCGGGCACCCCGCCAGGACCGUCGCCCUGGACCGGCUCUUCCUGCCUCUCUCCCGGGUGUCUGUCCCACCCCGGGUCUCCAUCACUAUCGGGGUGGCCGGCAUGGGCAAGACCACCCUGGUGAGGCACUUCGUCCGCCUCUGGGCCCAUGGGCAGGUCGGCAAGGACUUCUCGCUGGUGCUGCCUCUGACCUUCCGGGAUCUCAACACCCACGAGAAGCUGUGUGCCGACCGACUCAUCUGCUCGGUCUUCCCGCACGUCGGGGAGCCCAGCCUGGCGGUGGCAGUCCCAGCCAGGGCCCUCCUGAUCCUGGACGGCUUGGAUGAGUGCAGGACGCCUCUGGACUUCUCCAACACCGUGGCCUGCACGGACCCAAAGAAGGAGAUCCCGGUGGACCACCUGAUCACCAACAUCAUCCGUGGCAACCUCUUUCCGGAAGUUUCCAUCUGGAUCACCUCCCGUCCCAGUGCAUCUGGCCAGAUCCCAGGGGGCCUGGUGGACCGGAUGACGGAGAUCCGGGGCUUUAACGAGGAGGAGAUCAAGGUGUGUUUGGAGCAGAUGUUCCCCGAGGACCAGGCCCUUCUGGGCUGGAUGCUGAGCCAAGUGCAGGCUGACAGGGCCCUGUACCUGAUGUGCACCGUCCCAGCCUUCUGCAGGCUCACGGGGAUGGCGCUAGGCCACCUGUGGCGCAGCAGGACGGGGCCCCAGGAUGCAGAGCUGUGGCCCCCGAGGACCCUGUGCGAGCUCUACUCAUGGUACUUUAGGAUGGCCCUCAGCGGGGAGGGGCAGGAGAAGGGCAAGGCAAGCCCUCGCAUCGAGCAGGUGGCCCAUGGUGGCCGCAAGAUGGUGGGGACAUUGGGCCGUCUGGCCUUCCAUGGGCUGCUCAAGAAGAAAUACGUGUUUUACGAGCAAGACAUGAAGGCGUUUGGUGUAGACCUCGCUCUGCUGCAGGGCGCCCCGUGCAGCUGCUUCCUGCAGAGAGAGGAGACGUUGGCAUCGUCAGUGGCCUACUGCUUCACCCACCUGUCCCUGCAGGAGUUUGUGGCAGCCGCGUAUUACUAUGGCGCAUCCAGGAGGGCCAUCUUCGACCUCUUCACUGAGAGCGGCGUAUCCUGGCCCAGGCUGGGCUUCCUCACGCAUUUCAGGAGCGCAGCCCAGCGGGCCAUGCAGGCAGAGGACGGGAGGCUGGACGUGUUCCUGCGCUUCCUCUCCGGCCUCUUGUCUCCGAGGGUCAAUGCCCUCCUGGCCGGCUCCCUGCUGGCCCAAGGCGAGCACCAGGCCUACCGGACCCAGGUGGCUGAGCUCCUGCAGGGCUGCCUGCGCCCCGAUGCCGCAGUCUGUGCACGGGCCAUCAACGUGUUGCACUGCCUGCAUGAGCUGCAGCACACCGAGCUGGCCCGCAGCGUGGAGGAGGCCAUGGAGAGCGGGGCCCUGGCCAGGCUGACUGGUCCCGCGCACCGCGCUGCCCUGGCCUACCUCCUGCAGGUGUCCGACGCCUGUGCCCAGGAGGCCAACCUGUCCCUGAGCCUCAGCCAGGGCGUCCUUCAGAGCCUGCUGCCCCAGCUGCUCUACUGCCGGAAGCUCAGGCUGGACACCAACCAGUUCCAGGACCCCGUGAUGGAGCUGCUGGGCAGCGUGCUGAGUGGGAAGGACUGUCGCAUUCAGAAGAUCAGCUUGGCGGAGAACCAGAUCAGUAACAAAGGGGCCAAAGCUCUGGCCAGAUCCCUCUUGGUCAACAGAAGUCUGACCUCUCUGGACCUCCGCGGUAACUCCAUUGGACCACAAGGGGCCAAGGCGCUGGCAGACGCUUUGAAGAUCAACCGCACCCUGACCUCCCUGAGGGUGAAAUUCAUGUACCAUAAAAUUGACUGUUUUAGGCGGGUCCCAGAGGCUGAUGCCUGUAAUCCCAGCACUUUGGGAGGCCAAGGCAGGUGGAUCACUUGAGGUCGGGAGUUCGAGACCAGCCUGGCCAACAUGCCUCCAGGGCAACACCGUUAGGGAUGAUGGUGCCAGGUCCAUGGCUGAGGCCUUGGCCUCCAACCGGACCCUCUCCAUGCUGCACCUGCAGAAGAACAGCAUCGGGCCCAUGGGAGCCCAGCGGAUGGCAGAUGCCUUGAAGCAGAACAGGAGUCUGAAAGAGCUCAUGUUCUCCAGUAAUAGUAUUGGUGAUGGAGGUGCCAAGGCCCUGGCUGAGGCCCUGAAGGUGAACCAGGGCCUGGAGAGCCUGGACCUGCAGAGCAAUUCCAUCAGUGACGCAGGAGUGGCAGCACUGAUGGGGGCCCUCUGCACCAACCAGACCCUCCUCAGCCUCAGCCUUCGAGAAAACUCCAUCAGUCCCGAGGGAGCCCAGGCCAUCGCUCAUGCCCUCUGCGCCAACAGCACCCUGAAGAACCUGGACCUGACAGCCAACCUCCUCCACGACCAGGGUGCCCGGGCCAUCGCAGUGGCAGUGAGAGAAAACCGCACCCUCACCUCCCUUCACCUGCAGUGGAACUUCAUCCAGGCCGGCGCUGCCCAGGCCCUGGGACAAGCACUACAGCUCAACAGGAGCCUCACCAGCUUAGAUUUACAGGAGAACGCCAUCGGGGAUGACGGAGCGUGUGCGGUGGCCCGUGCACUGAAGGUCAACACAGCCCUCACUGCUCUCUAUCUCCAGGUGGCCUCAAUUGGUGCUUCAGGCGCCCAGGUGCUAGGGGAAGCCUUGGCUGUGAACAGAACCUUGGAGAUUCUCGACUUAAGAGGAAAUGCCAUUGGGGUGGCUGGAGCCAAAGCCCUGGCAAAUGCUCUGAAGGUAAACUCAAGUCUCCGGAGACUCAAUCUUCAAGAGAAUUCUCUGGGGAUGGACGGGGCGAUAUGCAUUGCCACAGCACUGUCUGGAAACCACAGGCUCCAGCAUAUCAAUCUCCAGGGAAACCACAUUGGGGACUCCGGGGCCAGGAUGAUCUCAGAGGCCAUCAAGACAAAUGCUCCCACGUGCACUGUUGAAAUGUGAUCCUGGUGGACGGAUCAGGAGAAUGGGCAGAUGCUCAGCUGGAAGCUUUUGAACAGAAAGGCCGACUUCUGGGGGGCCUGUCUGGGAGCUGGGAACGCUGCUUGCUCAGCACGAGAGCCGGGCUCUGCAGGGAGGAAGGAGAGGUGCUGCCGGAGGAGGUCGUGAGCUCCUCUUCUGCUGCAGGAGUGGUCCAGGCAGGGGGUGACGGGUACUCUGUUAUGGCACAGAGAAGGGAGGGGCCACCCCCAAGGGACUAGGGGCCAAAGGCCUGAAAGCUGAGCAGUACAGGAGGCUGGUUCCAGCUUUACACCCUGAGGACUUCAUGUGUCCCCAACCUUUAAAAAUGUUUAUUACUGCCCCUUUCCACUCACCUGGUUAAAAAUCAUCCCAUGCUCUGAGAUGAGCUGCCACCUCAAGCCCGUGAGGAGCAUCCGUUUGGUAGGGGUAACAGAGGGGACCCUUCUUUAUCUUCUCAAGAAGAAGAUUUCAGGGUAUCAUCCUUACAGACAUGAAAAAGCUAUGGGAAAAUUGUGAAGAUAAAUGAAAGUUUUAAUUCUAGGAUUCUGGAAACAGAGACAGUAAGAGUUCUCCAAGGAUUUUGCCUUUUUUGUUUGUUUUUGAGAUGGAGUCUCGCUCUUGUCGCCCAGGCUGGAGUGCAGUGGCACGAUCUCAGCUCCCUGCAACCUCCGCCUCCCGGGUUCAUGUGAUUCUCCUGCCUCAGCCUCCCCAGUAGCUGGGAAUACAGGCACCCGCCACCAUGCCCGGCUAAUUUUUGUAGUUUUAGUAGAGACGGGGUUUCAUCAUGUUGGCCAGGCUGGUCUCGAACUCCUGACCUCAGGUGAUCCAUCAGCCUGGGCCUCCCAAAGUACUGGGAUUACAGGCAUGAGCCACCACACCUGGCCCCAUUUUUUAUUUAUUACAAAAUCAAAGACAUGGGUGAUGCCUGGCACAUGUUGUCUGGAGUCUGGCACACUGGUUAUCAAUAGCACAUUCAGUGUAUUCAGUGAUGUCAUUCUUUAUUUAUUUUUGAGACAGAAUCUGUCACCCAGGCUGGAGUGCAGUGGCAUGAUCUCAGCUCACUGUAGGCUCUACCUCAUGGGUUCCAGUGAUUCUCCUGCCUCGGCCUCCCAAGUAGUUGGGUCUACAGGCACGCACCACCACACCCAGCUAAUUUUUGUAUUUUUAGUAGAGAUGGGGUUUCACCAUGUUGAUCAGGCUGGUCUUUAACUCCUGACCUCAAGUGAUCCACCCACCUCAGCCUCCCAAAGUGCUGGGAUUACAGGUGUGAGCCACUGCACCUGGCAGUGAUGUCAUUCCUUACUAGGCUUCCAAAGCCACUGCUGUGGCCACAGCUUCCAUGGAGACAGGCAAGCUGAGCCUCUAUGUGGCACCAAUUCCUGCAGCUGUUUGUGUUGGAGGGAAAAAAAUCCAAAUGGACAUCAACAGCUUUCAUCAACUAAAUAACCACAGAAAAUAUUUAUGAAGACUAUAAAGCAAUGAUUACUUUUGAAUUGGAAAGGAAUCACUAUUAUUUGAAAUGUUUCUUCAAAAGUGAGCAUCCGGACAGGAACCAUCAUGGAUGCUGAGGCCAUGGAUGAAGGCCUACUCGGGAAGAUGAUAUCCUUGCAGUCUCAAAACGGCACCCCACAAAGGUGAUAUCCUAAUUUACAAAGGGAAAAAGGUACCUUAAUCUGAAAUCUGGCAAAUGCAGCCUCAACAGAAGUGACAGAAUUGAACAUCGCCAAUAAUGGGACACACAGACAUCACAUGCCCCCAGUCUGAUGCACCACGGAGUCGUCUCUGAUGUAUUCUUGUCAAAAAAUGUUUGCCUGAUUCUAAUCAUGAAAGAACAAUUAGAAAAAAUCCAAAUUGACAGAUAUUCUGCAGAAUAAAUGGCCUGACCUCAUCAAAAACAUCAAUGUCAUGAAAAACACAAAACAUUGCAGAUAGCGUGAAAUUAAAGAUUACAGAGAUAUAAUUUAAUGCAAGAUCUCUGACUGGAUCCUAGACUGCAGGAAAAAGUCUGCUAUAAAGAACAUUUGGAUCACUUGUAGUAGCUGGGAAAUAAAACAAAACAUUAUUUGUAAAAGGGGGGAAAUCUGAACAUGGGUCUUGCAGUAUUUAUGACAGUUUUUGCGGGGCAGAGAUUUCUAGAUUGACAGCUGUUUUAGUACUUUCAAGGUGAUGCUCUGUCUGCUGGUUUGCAUUGUUUCUGUCUGAGUUAAGAGACUGGCAGAACACAGAGUUGCAGUAGCCAAACACUGGAGAAAGCUGGGCCCUACAGAAACCUAACGCUGAAGAAACCUCAGGAGCCAAACUGGUGGAGAAAACAAAGAGUCCUCCCUCUCUCCCUUUUCAAAUAAUGAUCAUACAUCUUCAAGCUGUCUGAAAUGGUUAAGGAGUUCAGUCUGUCGUCAGGCACACACCAGAGCCAGCUAGCCCACACAGACCCCAUCAGAGCAAAACAGACAAGAGAAUUUAAUUCAUAUCCACAUAGAAAGGACUUCUAGGUAGGAGGUAGACCCUUUAGCUCCCUUCCAAUUAAAGGAGUCCCCAAUUCUGGCACCUGAGAGUCCCCUGGGUCUAACAGCUAUGAUAUUUAUGUAGUGUGUUGCUUACCUAAAUGAAUACAAUUUCCUUCCAGACACGUGACACUGAUAUUAAAGUGCUAAUGAGAGGGAUCUAUUUCUUCUUGUACGCUAAAAGAGAAACAGCAGUUCAGAUUUCCCAUCAGAAGUCCGAGGACUUUGUUCUUGAUAACUACUACCAAUAAAAAUUGAGUAUUUGAAAAA